rnacentral:lncRNA from 1 species
CCCUCCAACCAGUACCCAGUAUGUUAAUCGUCUGUUCUCCUCCAGGCCAGUAGUGUUAAUCUGUCUGUUCUCCUCCAGGCCAGUACCCAGUAGUGUUAAUCUGUCUGUUCUCUCCUCCAGGCCAGUAGUGUUAAUCUGUCUGUUCUCUCCAGACCAGUACCCAGUAGUGUAAUCUGUCUGUUCUCCUCCAGAACAGUACCCAGUAGUGUUAAUCUGUCUGUUCUCCUCCAGGCCAGUAGUGUUAAUCUGUCUGUUCUCCUCCAGACCAGUACCCAGUAGUGUUAAUCUGUCUGUUCUCCUCCAGACAGUACCCAGUAGUGUUAAUCUGUCUGUUCUCCUCCAGACCAGUAGUGUUUAAUCUGUCUGUUCUCCUCCAGACCAGUACCCAGU